AAAGAAAAGAAAACCCACCACCAACAAACUAAAAGAUUAGACCUGCUUAUCGCUCUUUCUGUGCAGAUUCUAUUCCCAAGUUCAUCUUACAACCACAAAAGGCGAGUCUCGGGAAGUCUGCACAUGACGCCACUGCUCUCUGAGAGAUCGACAACUUGGGGGAUUGCAGGCGAGUUGACAGCGCUACUUCUGCCCAACCGAGGAUAGAUAGAUACAAAAAACGCGGCGCGUCGGGAGGGUGGUCGCAGAUACCACCGCCUCUCCUUACCGUCCCUCCCACCUCAUCCUCAGUCGCUUCACUAAUUCCCGCUUGGCUCGACGCUCCUUAUUUUCUAAGCCUACAGCUCGCACCUUAAGAGAAACCUAACGCCGAAAACCGUAAGGCCACCGGACAAGCAAGCAGGAACCCCAACCACUAUUUCAACCUGCAGAAUCCAUAGCAACCGACAGCGGCUCUCCACCUCUAGCCCCACCCCUUCCGCUCGGGAUUGCUUCCGCUUCCAGUCGGCUCACAGCACUGGUGUAAGGCGCUUUGCAUUGUGGGAACUCCUUCUCUUCUCGCUCCCCGGCCAUCUUGGCGGCUGCUUUUGGCUGGGGUCCGUCGCACACCUACGGCAGGAAGAUGGUGGCCGCAAAGAAGACGG